rnacentral:rRNA from 1 species
AGUUUCAUGCAGGUAAAGCUACCAAUAGGACUAGGGGGAGUCAAAUCCUACCAAAUCCUGAUGAACUCUGAAUGGCAUGAAAUAUACUCGGCAGUGAGGGCGGGGGUGCUAAGGUCACCGUCCGAGAGGGAAAGAACCCAGACCAACAGCUAAGGUCCCCAAAUCUAUACUAAGUUGAACAAAGGAGGUCUGAUUGCAGAGACAGCCAGGAUGUUAGCUUGGAAGCAGCUAUUCAUUUAAAGAGUGCGUAACAGCUCACUGGUCGAGCGAGGCGGGCAUCGAUAAUAAACGGGCAUCAAGUAUAGUACCGAAGCUUUGGAUUAUGUAUUAUAUACAUACUGGUAGGGGAGCAUUCUCAUUGCAGUGAAGGAUAGUCGACAAGGCUUACUGGAGCGAUGAGAAAAGCAAAUGUAGGGAUGAGUAACGAUAAUGCGGGCGAGAAACCCGCACGCCGAAAAGUCAAGGUUUCCUCAGCUAUGCUAAUCAACUGAGGGUUAGUCGGGGGCUAAGGGUUUAGCGAAAGCGAAGAUUUAAUGCACAUCAGGUUAAUAUUCCUGAACUUACUAUUAGGGAAAUACAAUGACGGAGAUUCGUGGUUGGCAGGUACUGACGGAAUAGUGCCUUUGAGAAGAAGCCGCAAGGCAGAAACGAGUUAGCGAAGAGACUUCCAAGAAAAGUUGUAAAUCUAUACUUAAUAGUAACCCGUACCGUAAACCGACACAGGUGACUGGGAAGAAUAUUCUAAGGCGCUCGAGUGAAUCACGGCUAAGGAACUCGGCAAAUUAACCCUGUAACUUCGGGAUAAAGGGAGCCUCCUCGCAAGAGAGGCCGCAGAGAAUUGGUCCAGGCGACUGUUUAACAAAAACACAUGGCUUUGCAAAAACGAAAGUUGACGUAUAAGGCCUGACACCUGCCCGGUGCUGGAAGGUUAAGAGGGGAUGUUAGCGCAAGCGAAGCAUUGAAUCGAAGCCCCAGUAAACGGCGGCCGUAACUAUAACGGUCCUAAGGUAGCGAAAUUCCUUGUCGGGUAAGUUCCGACCUGCACGAAUGGUGUAACGAUCUGGACACUGUCUCAGCCGUGAGCUCGGUGAAAUUGUAGUAACGGUGAAGAUGCCGUUUACCCGCAACGGGACGGAAAGACCCCAUGAACCUUUACUAUAGCUUAGCAUUGAGUUCUGAUACUGGAUGUGUAGGAUAGGUGGGAGACUGUGAUAUUGUGUCGCUAGGCAUGAUGGAGUCAACGUUGAAAUACCACCCUUCUUGUAUUGGGAUUCUAACUUAAAAAAGGACAUUGCUUGGUGGGUAGUUUGACUGGGGUGGUCGCCUCCAAAAGAGUAACGGAGGCUUUCAAAGGUACCCUCAGCACGCUUGGUAACCGUGCGUAGAGUGCAAUAGCAAAAGGGUGCUUGACUGUGAGACAAACAAGUCGAUCAGGUACGAAAGUAGGAUAUAGUGAUCCGGUGGUUUAGUAUGGAACAGCCAUCGCUCAAAGGAUAAAAGGUACUCUGGGGAUAACAGGCUGAUCUCCCCCAAGAGCUCACAUCGACGGGGAGGUUUGGCACCUCGAUGUCGGCUCGUCACAUCCUGGGGCUGGAGAAGGUCCCAAGGGUUCGGCUGUUCGCCGAUUAAAGUGGCACGCGAGCUGGGUUCAGAACGUCGUGAGACAGUUCGGUCCCUAUCUGUUGUGGGCGUAGGAUUAUUGACAGGUUCUGACUUUAGUACGAGAGGACCGAGUUGGACUGACCGCUGGUGUAUCAGUUGUUCUGCCAAG